UACGAAGGGGGCGAGCGUUGUUCGGAAUUACUGGGCGUAAAGGGCGCGCAGGCGGCUCUGAAAGUCAGAUGUGAAAGCCCCGGGCUUAACCUGGGAACUGCAUUUGAUACUCUGGAGCUUGAGUACGGGAGAGGAUAGUGGAAUUCCCAGUGUAGAGGUGAAAUUCGUAGAUAUUCGGAAGAACACCAGUGGCGAAGGCGGCUGACUGGACAUGUAUUGACGCUGAGGUGCGAAAAGCGUGGGGAGCCAAACA
rnacentral:rRNA from 1 species